UACGAAGGGGGCUAGCGUUGCUCGGAAUCACUGGGCGUAAAGCGCACGUAGGCGGAUUGUUAAGUCAGGGGUUAAAUCCUGGAGCUCAACUCCAGAACUGCCUUUGAUACUGGCGAUCUUGAGUCCGGGAGAGGUGAGUGGAACUGCGAGUGUAGAGGUGAAAUUCGUAGAUAUUCGCAAGAACACCAGUGGCGAAGGCGGCUCACUGGCCCGGUACUGACGCUGAGGUGCGAAAGCGUGGGGAGCAAACAGG
rnacentral:rRNA from 1 species